CUUCGGGGAGCUAGCUACUAUCUAGCUAGCAAAGUUUUUUUUUACCAGUUUCCAACCCACGUAGCGUAUAUAUAUUUGACUGUUUUUUUUAAACGGAGAAAGAAAACAUCAGAAAUGCGGCUGAAAGUUCCGAAAAAGAUACCCACAGGAGGUGUGAAGUUGGUAUUGGCUAUGAUGAUCUGGUCUCCAACUUGAAACAUGAAACAUGACUCAUUCUUUGAGAACCUCCUGGAGGUGAUGAAUGGGGCGAUGUGAUUAUCCAGUAUGGCCAGCAAAGCAAGGAGCAGUUCCUGGCCGAUAGCCUCUGGAAACUGUACUUGCUAAAGGUCACCAAAGAGAUGGAGGAAGGAUCCACAGAUCCACUAAAUCACAGGGCCAACUGGAUCAGGCUUCACUUUGACACAGCCAUCAUAAUUACUCCACGGCGGAGGGAUCAAUUACAGCUGAGCACCAUUAUUUCCAGAACAGAGCUAAACAUUAAAGUUUAAAAAUUCAAAAUUAUUAAAAAGGCGUGCUCUCAGGGACACAUACAGAAUAUUUACUGUUAACAAAUAACUUAAUAACUUCACUCUGAAUUAUUAAUUCAUGGCUCACAUUGGCUCGGCAAGACUUGUCUCAUGGUUAAUAUCUCUCCUUUAUACAUUGUUAAAUAUGCAUCACUUCUUGACUACUCUAUUUGAGCACUUGGCAAAUCUGUCAGAGCUUUGUGACCUUAUUAGAAAAUCUGAGCUGCAGUUUUGGCUGUUGACAUAGUGAUUUAAAUAUUCUAGUCUAAACGAAUGCUUUGUUUAUGGAUAGAGAAAGGGAUGCGGUUUCUUCUGACAUAGCUUAAUACAGUAGAUCACUUUUACUUUGAGGAAUGGCUGUCGUUUAAGCAAAAAUGUCCUCAAGUCAGCUUUCUUUGAGUCGUGUCUGUGCUAAUGAGGUGGCUCUGAUUGGAGCACUUACCAAUCCAGCAAUUAUGGGUCAUGUUUUUGAUGGAUUAAUCAAUCAUUCCACUUGAACUUGAAUUAGAAUAUUAUUUGACAUAAAAGAAGGAAACCUUGCAAGAGUACCUUGGCUCAUGAAGGUGCAGGUAAUAUAACUGGUAUGGAAUUUUUUUUUUUUUAAAUUGAAUAGCUCUUCUUUUAGUCUAUUUAGUUUCCUUGCUCAUAAAAUCAAUAUGGCCAAACCAGACUGUUCUGGAUUUCUUGGUUUUGAUGCAGAUUUGCAGAGUCUAUAGGCUAUAUCCAGUCCUUAAGCCAGUUGCUGCUGAUGGCACUACUCAUUCAUUACCUCAGGGUAUGUACACAGAAUAUCACCAAGGGGAUUUAUUUUCCUAUUGGCAUUUAUGCUCAAUUCAAGUUGUUGGGUUUCCAUGAGAUUAAUGUUAUUGCUGACUUGUUCUAAUAGCCAUUGCAGCAAGCAGCAAACAUUAUACAAUGUUGUCCAUUACAGGUUACACAUACAGUAGUCCAUGAAAUGCAAAUAACACUCUAUGCACCCUCCUCUGUUACAGGAGGUAUGAAUGGAAUUUAAUGGGCCGAGGAAAGAUUGAGAAUCAGGAAAGUACAGGUGCUUGCUCUUUUAGCCCCUUCCAGCUGAGUGAAUCAAAAACAAUGUGGCAGAACCUGAAAUAGUUCACAGCUUUAGAAAAGUCCCCAGGGCCCUUAAAUUGGCUCUCAGAUGAGGGAAAAAGAAACAAUUGCCCUUUACCUCCGAGGUUGCACGUCAUCUCUCUGAAACUCACUACUGGGCAGAUUAAGGUCAAGUAGACCAUCCCCCCCCCCUCUUUUUCCCUGUUCUCUGAAGGGAGCAGAGAGAGGGCAAAUAAAAUGAUGACAGGGAGGGAUUGAGAGAGAGUGAGCGAUGGUAGAAACUGGGAUUUUGAAGGUCUUUGAAAAAGGUUUUACACCCAUCCCUGGUGGUUUUCCUCUCUCACUCCAAGAACUGUGUUGAUAAUGGCUGCUUGUCAAAGAGGAUGAGCCCACCUGCUCUUUGUAACUCAGUCCUGCUGGUUCAGCUCAUAGCCUCGACAUAAAUAUGAAAGGAACGCGAUUGGGGGUUAGUGGUCCUGGGUUUUGGAUGUCAUGGCCCCUUAAUGUAGCUGUAAAGCUAACAAUAUUCUAUGAAAGGGCACUCAAGGAAUAGAGACAUGAACAUUAGGAACCUGUCUAGUUACUGCCCCUAAACUGCUUGAAAUCCAGUAGGUCAGCCUUCUAAACCAUGCUGAUCCCACAUUGUGGAGAUAACAUAGACCAGUACGACACUACCACCAAAUUAUGUCAUAAUGUACCCACUCGUCACAGAUGAUAAAUCAAUGAAACCAAAGUGGCAAGCCUGCCAAUUGUAAUUACCGAAUCAAUUGACACACAAUUAAGUCUUUUUGUUUCAGUGGAUUGUCCUGUCAAUCAGGAAAGAGCUCCUGCACGUUCAGUAAUGUGCGAGUGAAUGGCAUAACAUUUUGCCUUUCCAUGUCAAGGGCACAGUUAUGAAGUCUGCUAGCAAUUAGGAGCUAUAAUGUGCUGAGUUGAGCAAGGCAACAAAAUAGGCAGCAAUUUCUUCUGCUCCUGUUGAAAUUAUGCUUAUCAGGUACCUUGCCUCAGCAAAGGUGAAGGGUCGUCCCGAGUAGGCAGGCAGCAUUUCUCCACAUAAUUGAGAGAAGUUUGGAUUUAAUUGUAUAAUUAAUCUUGUCGAAUUAAGUUACACAGAAGUCCGACCCCUAAAUUAGGCAGUCUGGAAUAUUUUAAAUUGCCUUAAUGUGAAAUCUGGCUCCAGAAUGCACUUUGUUCUCUCCUGAUGGUAUGAGGUAAGUUUUUAUCCACGAUGAACACGGCAUGCUGUAAUAACCUGUUAGCAGUUCUUAUCACGUCGUUCCUUUUUAUAUGAUUAAUUUCCUCAGAAAGUAAUUGCAAUUUCAAAGAGAGCCUCAUUUUUAUUGUAUAGCUUAUUGUGGGCCAGUGAAGAGAAAAUAUAUAGACAGAAUUCAUGGUAAUGCUCAUCAAAUUAAUUUGAACAUAAGUCUACAUUCUUGACUAUUGAUCUUUUUGAUGAGGGUUUAGUUCUAUAGUUUAUUGUUCAGUUGUCCUGCUUUGUUCCACAUUUGUUGAUUGAUUAACAUAUUUAGUUUGCAUUUAAUACGA